UACGGGGGGGGCAAGCGUUGUUCGGAAUUACUGGGCGUAAAGGGCUCGUAGGUGGUCAACUAAGUCAGACGUGAAAUCCCUCGGCUUAACCGGGGAACUGCGUCUGAUACUGGAUGGCUAGAGAUUGGGAGAGGGAUGCGGAAUUCCAGGUGUAGCGGUGAAAUGCGUAGAUAUCUGGAGGAACACCGGUGGCGAAGGCGGCAUCCUGGACCAACACUGACGCUGAGGAGCGAAAGCCAGGGGAGCAAACGGG
rnacentral:rRNA from 1 species